AUUGAACGCUGGCGGCAGGCCUAACACAUGCAAGUCGAGCGGAUGAAGGGAGCUUGCUCCUGGAUUCAGCGGCGGACGGGUGAGUAAUGCCUAGGAAUCUGCCUGGUAGUGGGUGAUAACGUCCGGAAACGGGCGCUAAUACUGCAUACGUCCUGAGGGAGAAAGUGGGGGAUCUUCGGACCUCACGCUAUCAGAUGAGCCUAGGUGGGAUUAGCUAGUUGGUGGGGUAAAGGCCUACCAAGCCGACGAUCCGUUACUAGACGGGGAGGAUGAUCAGUCACAUUAGAACGUGAACAGGGUCCAGGGGCCUAAGGGACGGCGCAGAGGGGAAUAUUAGGCAAUAGGGGGAAGCCUUGCACAACCAGGGCGCGUGUGUGAAAGAAGUCUUCGGAUUGUAAAGCACUUUAAGUUGGGAGGAAGGGCAGUAAGUUAAUACCUUGCUGUUUUGACGUUACCAACAGAAUAAGCACCGGCUAACUUCGUG
rnacentral:rRNA from 1 species